CAAAGUUGAUCGUGUUUAUGACGUCGAAUAUCGACGUCAUAAACACCAAAGUUGUUUGUGUUUAUGACGUCGAAUAUCGACGUCAUAAACACCAAAG